GAUGAACGCUGGCGGCGUGCCUAAUACAUGCAAGUCGAGCGAACAGACGAGGAGCUUGCUCCUCUGACGUUAGCGGCGGACGGGUGAGUAACACGUGGAUAACCUACCUAUAAGACUGGGAUAUCUUCGGGAAACCGGAGCUAAUACCGUAUAAUAUAUUGAACCGCAUGGUUCAAUAGUGAAAGACGGUUUUGCUGUCACUUAUAGAUGGAUCCGCGCCGCAUUAGCUAGUUGGGAAGGUAACGGCUUACCAAGGCAACGAUGCGUAGCCGACCUGAGAGGGUGAUCGGCCACACUGGAACUGAGACACGGUCCAGACUCCUACGGGAGGCAGCAGUAGGGAAUCUUCCGCAAUGGGCGAAAGCUUGACGGAGCAACGCCGCGUGAGUGAUGAAGGUCUUCGGAUCGUAAAACUCUGUUAUUAGGGAAGAACAAAUGUGUAAGUAACUAUGCACGUCUUGACGGUACCUAAUCAGAAAGCCACGGCUAACUACGUG
rnacentral:rRNA from 1 species